GUGAGGAAUAUUGCGCAAUGGAGGCAACUCUGACGCAGCCAUGCCGCGUGCAGGAAGAAGGCGCUACGCGUUGUAAACUGCUUUUAACCGGGAAGAAACCCCAGGACGUGUCCUGGGUUGACGGUACCGGAGGAAUAAGCACCGGCUAACUUCGUGCCAGCAGCCGCGGUAAUACGAAGGGUGCAAGCGUUAUCCGGAUUCAUUGGGUUUAAAGGGUGCGUAGGCGGAGCGUUAAGUCAGUGGUGAAAUCCUGCAGCUUAACUGUAGACUUGCCAUUGAUACUGGCGCUCUUGAGUGCGCUUGAAGUGGGCGGAAUGUGCCGUGUAGCGGUGAAAUGCUUAGAUAUGCUACGGAACACCGAUUGCGAAGGCAGCUUACUAUUUCGUAAUUGACGCUGAGGCACGAAAGCGUGGGUAGCGAACAGGAUUAGAAACCCUAGUAGUCC
rnacentral:rRNA from 1 species